rnacentral:rRNA from 1 species
CUUGCACAGGUUUGGGUGGAUUGGGAACUGCACUUAACUUUUAGAAGGUGUGUGAUGGAAAGCACUCUAAAAAGAUGGGAGGAGCUCAUCAAGGUGGUCGAGCCAGUGUGCUUGUCUGAUUCCCCAGACCAGCCAGUUUGGUUGCUAGAAUCAUCUAACAAAUAUUCUGUCAAAUCAUUUUAUAAAAUGAUUAACUUUGGUGGGAUAGUUUCUGCUAUCAAAGAUGAUAUUUGGAAAAUUAGAGUUCCACCCAAUAUUCAUGUUUUUCUCUGGUUGAUCUACUACAAUAAGAGCUUAACUAGGGAUAAUCUGGCCAAGCGCAGACAUGUGAAUGACAUGUCGUGUGUCUUCUGUAGUGAACCUGAAACCAUCCAGCAUCUAUUUUUUGAUUGCAUUGUUGCCAGACAUGCUUGGGAGGUGGUAGCUGAUAGCUUUAAUAUUUCUGCACCUGAAUCUUUUGAACUGUUGUCUUCUUUCUGGAAGAGGAGAAAAUACUGUGAAGCUUUAAAUAUUGUCACUGCUGCUACCUUGUGGAGCUUACGGCGAUUUCGAAAUGACUUUGUUUUCCAGAGGAGAAGAUGGCGAAGUAUACGAUGUGUUUUGGACUUGUUGGGGGCAACGAUCAGGCAGUGGAAAAUCUUAUGUUCAGAGGCUCAGGGUGCGCUUCUUCUCCGGUGCUUAAGUCUUUUGGAUCAUCGAAGAAAGGAAUUGCUUAGGAUCGCGUGGCGGUGA